rnacentral:lncRNA from 10 species
GUCCUGCUGUGAAUCGCUCUCCAUUCUCCCUCCUGGAGGCCAGAUCGCGCUGUGCCCAGCCCUGCAUCUAGAUUGUGCUGUGAUACGAACACAAUGGUUCUAGUUCCUGCUACCAUCUCAGGGGAGUCGUUUGGGUCCAAGGACAUCCAAAGAGUUACAGUCUGCACCUCCCCCUCCACCCGGCCCUGUCAGCAAAUCCCGUUCCCUUCCUCUGCUUCUAUUCUAGUCACCCUCCUCUUUCCCUUAUUAAAGAACUCCUGUUGGAAUCACUAAAGGCAGGGUCAGCAGAGAAAGGGGCUGAGAUACAAUCCCUCCCAUUGUUCUAAGGACAGCUAGUUCCAGCAUCGCUCUCUUAAAAACGGAAAUACUCCCGUGGGGGAAGCCACCUGAAACUUAAAAUACCUCAAUGAAAGGGAGAAGCAGAAUUCGCUAAAACUGACUCUCUGUUCUAGGACUUGAAGCCACGUUUCUUCAAAUCUCAGUUUCCAGAUCUGAAAAAGAUUGUUUUGGUCAGUCUGAUUCCCUUGAUUUCCACAUGAAUAUGAGGACAAUCUUAAAAAUUUCUACUAGAAAGGCAGUUACCCUGGAUAACACUUCCAGUACAGUGCUGAAUGGAUGUGGUGAAAGUAGACAACUUUAUCUGCGUCUGUCCUUUCAUAAUUAAGACAACUAUUUAUUAAAUUGUGAAAAGAAAGCAGGGCUCAAAUCACGUUGCUCUAAUUGAAAUGGAAAGUGAAUACACCUUGUUUCAAUCCUUCCACUUUAAAAUGGCAUAAAAUAUGUAUUAACUUUCUAUUUUGGUAUUGAGAGAAUAAAUUAGAAUUUGAUGAUGCCCUUCAAAAUUAAAUAUGUGAAUUCAUAGGACAAAGUUAUGGGGCAUGAUUAGGAAAAUUCGUAAGUGAGGGAUGAAACCUGGGGUCAUUUUUCCUUCCUAGAGAUCAGAAUUAUUAAUAAAUCAUGACCUUUAUUCUGAAAGAAGGAAGGCUGGGGUGCCAGUGACUUUCCUGAAAGACACACGAAAACGUAUGCCUGCCCUGGGGACAAUGAAUAACUUCUACACAUAUAUUGGUUUGAGCCCCCUUUGUUUAGGAAUCCUGCUUGCUUGCUCUUUUUAUAUGAUGUUUUCAUAAAUAAAUUAUGAUCCCAGUUAAUGUAAAAGUAGGUUGUAAAAGGAUUUCCCUCUUGGGCCAAUAAUGUGUCCCCUCCGAAGAAUAAGAAAAAAAGUAUCAGAGUGCUUCCUUCCCCCUUUUUCUGUUGCUGGAAAUGUUUUCGAUAUGGCUGCACAAAUAAAUGCAGUAAGGUUGUGGGCACCUCCACUCUGCAAGCCUCCAUCACUUACGUAGCAAAGUUGUUUCUGGGGCAUAAGAUCCCUUUGAUGAAGGCAGCGUCUACCUUGCAGUUACACUCACAGACAGUACUUGAACAUGGUUUGACAUUGCAUUCGAUUCCUGGAAAGGGAGGUACCUCCAAGUUUGACAGGUGUUAAAACAGAGCUAUUAUUUGUAGUAACUACUUAUUAUGGGAGGUCUUGGAACAAAUCCUUUCUCUAAAUCAUCUUCUUUGGCCCCCAG